UUUCAUGGAAUAAAUGAUAACUUUCCUCCUGUUCCCCCAUGACUCUGGUAGCCCAGGGACAGAAGAGUUAUAGCCGUAAUUCCGUUUGAAACAAAGCUCAUCAUCUCUCCAACUCCUCACUUCAUAAAAAACAUGAAAAGGUUCUCCCUUCCAUCAAGAAUUAAACACAUUUUCUUACUCCCCCAUCCCACAGGACUGGGAUCCCUCUCUUCCUUUUAUUUUUUCCAUUUUUCAAAGUGUUCUCCUUGCCCUCCUGGCAUCGGAGCAUUUUCUAAGGGCUGUGCCAGGGAAUUCAAAGCACCCACAAGAGGGUGAGGGACCCUCAUCUUCCAUACCAGAAAGAAAGCAGAAUGCCACAUUCUGCCGCCCUCCAAAAGCACUAAAGCAGCAAAGCAAUUCUGAAGCGACCCCUCUGAGCAGGGACGGGAAGCCGCAGCGUAACGGCGGCUUUGCUCCCCAUUAAUCACCAUAAGCUGUCAGUGGCAGCACCCUGCAACACUCACAGGGUUAAGUGAAAUGAUGUGAGAUGGGAUAUGGCCACUUCGACCACAAUCACAAGGAUCCCUGUGCUGGAAUGUGGCUCUUAGGCCUUGUAGGUUGUUACGUGAAAACAUCCUUUAUUUAUCUACCAAUUCUAGAUUGGCUACUUGCUGAAAAGUUGCUUUGGCCCUGCACCACAUUAUGAGAUGCAUCUCUACCCUAGUAUCCCAGAAAAAGUCAAGCAAGGCAAUGUUGAUGGUUGAUUCCUUCAUGAAUUGUGUUGCAGUUCCCUUUACCUUCAAAGAAGUAACCAAAAUUAAUCCUCAGAGAAGUUUUUAAUAUUAAAGUGGGCAUGCAUAAUAGGUGAUACAGUAUUUUAUGGCACUGUAAUAUGCCAGCUAAAAAAGGACCUAGUGAAUUAUAAGAAAAACCCCCAGCAACUGAAAAUGCUCCAAUUUGAACAUUAAUAUUCUAGUAAUGGCUGAAGACAGUGGAAUUUACUGCUUGCACACUGAGCUCAAUGCAAAGCAAAGGACAGUUACAGAAAAUCAUUCAUAUGCUAGAAGUUUCAUUUCUCCUAUUUUGAGAUUAUAAAAAGAAAAGAGAACCCUCCACUGUAUUUGAAAGCAUUUCUGCCACAAUCAACCCUUCUUUCUCCUGAACACUGCUGAAUGUAGUUAGCCCUAAACCCUCAGCAGGCUGGGGUUUAUUCUAAUUCCAGUUCACAUUCCUGCAACUGACGAAGGGAAGUGCAAUGUAUCCCAUCCCACAUGAAUCAAAUACUGCCUCUUCUUCCCCGAAUAUGCAACGCUGCUCCAGUCACUGGGGUUAGGGUUGCUCUAACCCCAGUCCCUAAAGCGAGAGCUUCAAAAGGGUGCUGCAGUUGGCACCUCCAGGUGAACGUGCCCAAGGCAGCAGGGCUGUCUGCUUGCCUAUAUGGCACAUUCUUCCUGCAUCUACUCACUGCAUCCUUCCCCUUAUCUGCACCUCCCCUCUUCCUUCCGUGCCUCCAGCCUACCAACUAAAAUAGGGCUUGACAACCACACAAUAAAUUUUUUAAAGUGUGUGCUUUAGGGAUAUUUCUUCCUUCGAAUAUUUAAUCCAGCUUUUACAAAGGAAUUUAUCCAAUUAUUAAUUCAACAUGAAAAAUGGAAAAAAAAUGUGAUCAGACAAGCCCAAUUUGAAGCCACAUAUUCAGGUAACAAAGCUAUUUUUAGUUACUGUGACAUCCAUUUCAAAACAUAAGGAUAAAGUGAAUGAGAACUAAAAGACUAGCAUCGGCCAGGACUUUGCGCCUCAUCUGAAAAUAGCUAUGUAACACUAACAGUAUGCCCUACCAGCACGCACUCAGCCAGCACAGAUCCAAAAUUGUAUUUCAUGCUGUAUUUCCGAGAGGCACGGCACAGAAUUCAGACCCCGGAGGGAAGGAGGCUGAAGUGAUUACGAGCUACUUCCACAUUCCUCGGUGCUGGGCUGCCCGAAGGCUGGAGCAGCAUCCCAGGCGAGCCAGACCCUUUUGAAAAAUUCACAGUAGCAGUGGCUGACCCCACUGAAACGCCUCUCCAGACCUCCACUCUGCAGCCUGGGCUACGUAAACCAUCCCUUUCACCCCAGCUCAGGCAUUUCUUUGUGCAGAAUGGUUUGCAGAAAAAUCACCGGUGCCUACGUUCCCUAAUUUGUUAUUAUAUAGACUUCUCUUCCAGCCAGAAUUGGGGCAUUUUAAAUAUGUUUACACAAGUCCCCUUUUUUUUUUUUUUUUUUAACGGGCCUGAAUGUGCUGGUGAAGCUUCAAAGACUGUACCUUCAGAUGGGAUACAGUCACAAGCUAAAUCACUACCUGCAGCCCCAUGCGUUUACUGCUUUUCGCUCUUUCAAGUAUUAACUACGUUCAAUUUUCUGCUUAAUUUUAUUCGAUUUUCAAGUGUGUUUAAAAAGAUACCCUACUGCUCUCUUUGAGGGGGUGUAUGCACUGCUUGUGUUGUCCGUGAGUAAGUUCAUUUUGCUUCCUUUCCUCCUAGGACUACUCUCUGUCAUACUGAUUUGUUUUCCCUCUAAUGUUGAGAAAAGGCACUUGUUAUGAAUAUUCAUUUCUAUUGUAAAGUUAGGGACAGCAGAAAUAUAAGCCCUUUCAUUUUAUUCUUCUAUCUCCAAUUUGAUUUAUGUAUAUUUUAUUCAAGAAGGGGGGACUAUUUUGACACCUAUUAUCGUUUAUCAAACAUAGAACUGCUUAAAAUUUUUUGCACUGUACGUAACAAUAGGAAACAUUCCUCAGAAACUUACCUGUGCUGAUCAGUCUCAACACACCACAAACUCAGAGCGUAUUACAACCCGAUCAUGCUCUCUAGACAGAGUUUUGCAAAACAAUUACCAAUUAGCCCAAUGAAAAGUACUCUGAUAAUUAACUUUUUCAUACCGUGUUUUUAGUGCUCUAGUUCAGGAUGUGCUGAACAUGAUCCCUCAGAGCAGCCUCUUUUCCUUCUCACCUCUUUGCACUCAGCCACCUCUCCUCUGCAAGCACAAAUGCCGUGUGUGCGCUUGUGCCACAAUUUAAGCACGUCAUGCAGCUUUCUGCUCACCUGGGUACAUAACAGUCUGUACUGCCUUUCUUCUAUCGGCUGGCAUUAACCUUUAUGCCUUCUGCUUAACAUUAUGUUCUGCAGAACAACCCAAAUGAGUCGCGUAAUGUACACGGAUACAACAACUUCAUACACAUUUAUCACCUCCAGCAGAAGCAAAAGAUAACUUUUCUGAAAAAAAAUUAACCUGUUUUUCUCUUAUGUCACUUUCGACCACAGAGCACUGAUCAAGCGUUAACCGCUUUUUAAAUGGAAGUCUUUUCAUAGCCCAGGCAGCAAUACAAGUCUGGAGAGUGUUGCUAAACUGUAAAUAAUCACAGGGAAAUGGAGCGAUGUAAGCACUACAUCUCACAGUGCCGAUAGCCUGUGCUUCUUGGGAAAGGAAUGAAGCUUUCUUUAUGGGUGAGAAACAGAUUUCUGCCCGUAGAAGUAAUUCCCUAACACUUAUUUUAAUUGAUUACUUCUUUUAAAUGAAGUUUGUGUUUCCCCAGCUAAAUCUUCCCUUGGAAAAGAUAGCCCUGCGCAAGGCAGGGUGGAUGAACGGGCAGGGCAGAACCGUGACUGCGAGCACCACUGCUACGCGUCCCAUGUGUGCGUGGAAAACUCUUGCAAGGCGCCCGUCCCUCCUUCCCCUCCCUCUGCAAGGUCCAGCCCCUGGGGCCGGGCACGCAAUUUAUGACGGUAAGGAACAAGGGAAAGACAAAAUUUCCACUUCAGCCAUCUUUCAUUGUUACUGCUUUUAAUUGUUUUGACAGGGCACUCUAAAAGAAUUGUGCAUUUCUUCUUUUUACCCUCUCUGUUAUUUUAUGCUUCCCUUAGAUAGGGGCUUCUCUGAACUAAAAAAUACAUCAUGCACAUUAAAUAGCACUGAAGUGAUGGCAUGUCUGACCACAACAGAGCUGUGAAGAGUCUCCAGUAAAAACGCAAGCACAUCCCCUUUCACACUGUAAGAGUCAUUCAGUUCCUUCUCGUUGAGAUCCAGGUUAAGCAGACUCAACCGUUUGUGACUAAACCCACAAGAGCUGCACAGUCCCCACCGAACUGAGAGCAAGUACUUUUUGUUAACCUAUCCUGAUUCUCAAAACGUGUAUGCUGACAAGCCUCCACACAGUUUCUUACUCUGUUGGUGCAGGGCACAGCCGUGCCGGAGGCAGGAAGGCGGCAGGGAGGAAGGAGCCCAGCUUAGGGCUGAGCCUCGGUGGAAGAGCACAGGCUGCAGGAUGGGACCCGAGCCCAGGAGCGACGGCACGAGUUUUUCCCGAGUCCAGGGAGUCGCAGGAGGAGGCGAACUCACAGGAAAGCCCACCAUGAAGAUACACCGAAUGCAGAAGACUAUACAUGAUGAAAGGAAAAAGCCACCACCACACGCACCGUGAGUGCAUAUGGCCAAGCCCCGCCACGCUGUGAUGAACACCGGCGCGAUCCAUUCCUAAUGGCGAUUUUCCUUUCUGUUGCAUUCCUUGUUGUAAACUGCGAGUACUGGCUACCCUGCAUACAGCUACGGGAGACUGGCCGGACUUCUGGAGAAUCUGGAAUUUGCUUUUAACAGCACUGGCAUGCUCUUCGUGUGCCUCUGAGGCCUGCAGCCCUGACGUGGGACUAAGACCUGUAGAUAUUUCUAAUCCCACAGACUCCAUUGCACUCACAACUUAGCAAGGCUGAAAUUUUUACAUGGAGUCAGAAUAUCAAAGAAAUAUUUCUCUGACACUUAACAUAAGGCACACACAGGGGAAGGCUGGACAAGGGAGAGAUUGUGACUGUGGACAAAGGGGUGCAAAUUUUGCUCUUGCAAUUGAAGGAAAGGAGAAAAUUCUCUUACAAAGACGCCUCUCACAACUCAGAUCCUACAACAUGGGAUGUAUGUCCUGCUUUCCCCACCAGGCUUUACUCUUGACUCUGCUAUUCAAAUCCCAGCACCUGUGAUGACGCAAGGCUUCAGAAAAAAAGCCUCUGCAUGAGAGCAUCCACAGAGUCCCACGCAGUUCUGGUUUGACGUUACCUCUCUCAGGGCACUAGACAUCAAAUUGACCCGGCUCCCAAGCUAUGGCAGGAAACAAACAAGCAUCCUGGGUGGGUUUAGAUGGAGAUGGAGGAGCUACAGCUCUUCUCUGCAGCACCGCAUGGUGGGUUUGCAGGCUGCAGGCCUGCUAGGGGUGCUUUCAUGGAGGAGUUUCCUGCAUAAAGCACAGCUGUAGGAGCCCAUCCUGUGCCCUGCUGCACACCUUGGCAUGAGCCGUCCGAUGCCCGGAGCUGCUCUGAGCUGUCAGCCACCUCCUGUGGCACAGGCAGAUGUGCAAGUGGAGCUUUUCACCUAAGAAUGGUUACCACGAGCAGGAAGCAAGUCAAUGAAAACUCCAGGCCAUAGCCAAAUAACCUAAAAAUCAACAUUGCUGGGGCAAUUGUGGUCUAGGACAAGCAUCAUAAGCCUCUGCAUCGCUUCAUGUACACCACACGUAGCACAGCAGGUACUGGCCACUGGGCAAAAGUAUGGAAAAUAUAUACAUUAGUGCUGACUAGCUUCUGAAAAACACUGACCUUUUAACCAGUUAAGCUGUAAACAAAACAUUAAAAAAAUCAUUCUGGUUUGAAGUGUGCAUGAAGUACGUUCCUUAAAAGGUAAAGACCAGUGUGUGCUUUGCAAUGAGAACUUAAAAGCCCUUAGAUGUAUUAAUUGUACCUCAAAACCUCUUUGAGGUAAGUAUAUUGAAUAUAACACAUAUAAGAAAGAGAGAUAUAUAAUGUCCACAUUUUAUGAAAGUACAGAAUCAUACACAGACUCUGCCAUAUGCCAACAGCUCAGCCCAGGCAGGAUUUAGACCUGAGGACCUGGGCUCAUAGCUCCCUCUCAUCUUUGACAGACAGCAAUGUCUCUAACAUUGGGGAAAACAAACAAACAAAAAAAUCAGAUCCCAAAGAAUGCAAAAAGAAAUGAUAUGGAAACUUGUGCUGACAAACAUAAAGCAAAGUUGAAAAUACACACGCGAAAAGCCUUUGCAUAAAGUUUAUGAUCACGCUUAGGCUGAACAGAAUUUUUUGGUAGUGAUUUACUUUUCAGUAUCCAAAGUGUUUCUUCUCUUCACGAAUGAAUAGGAGCAGAGCAACUGGCCUUUGCAAGCAACUAUAAGGUUUUUUGUUUUUUUUCCUUCAAAGGUAUGAGGAAUUUUCUCUGUCCUUCAAGGUACAAGCAUCGCCUCACCCUGAUGAAGUUUCAAGAUGUAUCUAUUUUGUUAAAAAGAGUGGACUCUCUAAUAAAUGAAUUACUCAGAAUCACACAAUACUGUAUUAAUAUUAAUCGAUUCAUACAAACAUUAAAAUGUAAAGUCAAUGAACA